rnacentral:tRNA from 1 species
GGAGAGGUACCCGAAGCGGCCCAACGGGGUCCGGAAGCCAGUUCCGGUCGGGUUCUGCCCGCGCAGGUUCGAAUCCUGCCCUCUCCG